UGAGGAAUAUUGGGCAAUGCCCGAAAGGGUGACCCAGCAACGCCGCGUGGAGGAUGAAGGUCGUAAGAUUGUAAACUCCUGUUAGAGGGGAAGAAUAACUAAGUUUGGAGCUUAGUACGACUGUACCCUCAGAGAAAGCCCCGGCUAACUACGUGCCAGCAGCCGCGGUAAUACGUAGGGGGCAAGCGUUGUCCGGAUUUACUGGGUGUAAAGGGCGCGCAGGCGGAAUGGAAAGUCAGUGGUGAAAUCCUACAGCUUAACUGUAGAACUGCCUUUGAUACUUUCAUUCUUGAGUUCGGGAGAGAGAGACGGAAUUCCAGGUGUAGUGGUGAAAUACGUAGAUAUCUGGAAGAACACCAGUUGCGAAGGCGGUCUCUUGGUCCGAUACUGACGCUGAGGCGCGAAAGCGUGGGGAGCAAACA
rnacentral:rRNA from 1 species